CAGACAGGAGAUCCAAGCCUUAAGGGUCCUCUCCCGAGCCGGGUCCGGGGCCGGGGUCUUCUGGGCGCCUCUGACGGCUUUUCGUCGGGAGAAGCUCCUUCCCUGGACCGGUGCUCUCGGAUGGACGCUGGCUGCAUCUCCUGCUCAAUUAAGAGGAAACAUCUAUAUACUGUCUAUGGUUGCGAUUGCAUGAACCUGGCAAACCGGUAUCUCACGGUCUGUAGGCAACCUCUCGUGACCAAACCUGGUAAAACAGUCUGUUCUGAUAUAGACCAUAAGAAUCUUUUAGGAAAACCCCUACAAGAAAAGUGGGAGGGACCUUUCCAAGUGCUGCUGAC